CCUACGGGAGGCAGCAGUGGGGAAUAUUGGACAAUGGGGGGAACCCUGAUCCAGCGACGCCGCGUGAGUGAAGAAGUAUUUCGGUAUGUAAAGCUCUAUCAGCAGGGAAGAAAGAAAUGACGGUACCUGACUAAGAAGCCCCGGCUAACUACGUGCCAGCAGCCGCGGUAAUACGUAGGGGGCAAGCGUUAUCCGGAUUUACUGGGUGUAAAGGGAGCGUAGACGGGGAUGCAAGUCUGAAGGGAAAGGCGGGGGCCCAACCCCCGGACUGCUUUUGAAACUGUUAGGCUGGAGUGCAAGAGAAGGAAGGGGAAUUCCCUGUGUAGCGGGGAAAUGCAUAGAUAUUGCGGGGAACUCC
rnacentral:rRNA from 1 species